GCCCGGCUAGCUCAAUCGGUAGAGCGUGAGACUCUUAGUAUUCUCACGGAUUCUGAAAUCUCAAGGUUGUGGGGUACGUUCAUCUGCAAGUCCUGUGUUCGAGUGCUUCGCUAACUCCCUGUUCAGUUCGACCCCCACGUCGGGCU